rnacentral:pre_miRNA from 1 species
UGGAACGGAAAUCUCGCCUAAUCGUGAUUCAAAUCCCAGAUCGGUGGGACUUUCGUUCGUUU